rnacentral:rRNA from 1 species
AGAGUUUGAUCAUGGCUCAGGACGAACGCUGGCGGCGUGCCUAACACAUGCAAGUCGAGCGGAAAGGCCCUUCGGGGUACUCGAGCGGCGAACGGGUGAGUAACACGUGAGCAAUCUGCCCUUAGCUCUGGGAUAGCUCCGGGAAACCGGAAUUAAUACCGGAUAUGACUGCGGCCGACAUCGGCUGCGGUGGAAAGAUUUAUCGGCUAGGGAUGAGCUCGCGGCCUAUCAGCUAGUUGGUGGGGUAAUGGCCUACCAAGGCGACGACGGGUAGCCGGCCUGAGAGGGCGACCGGCCACACUGGGACUGAGACACGGCCCAGACUCCUACGGGAGGCAGCAGUGGGGAAUCUUGCGCAAUGGGCGAAAGCCUGACGCAGCGACGCCGCGUGGGGGAUGAAGGCCUUCGGGUUGUAAACCCCUUUCAGCAGGGACGAAGCGAAAGUGACGGUACCUGCAGAAGAAGCGCCGGCUAACUACGUGCCAGCAGCCGCGGUAACACGUAGGGCGCAAGCGUUGUCCGGAAUUAUUGGGCGUAAAGAGCUCGUAGGCGGUCUGCCACGUCCGCUGUGAAAGCCUAGGGCUUAACCCUGGGUCUGCAGUAGAUACGGGUAGACUAGAGGUAGGUAGGGGAGAAUGGAAUUCCCGGUGUAGCGGUGAAAUGCGCAGAUAUCGGGAGGAACACCGGUGGCGAAGGCGGUUCUCUGGGCCUUACCUGACGCUGAGGAGCGAAAGCGUGGGGAGCAAACAGGAUUAGAUACCCCCGUAGUCC